rnacentral:rRNA from 1 species
UAGGGAAUCUUCCACAAUGGACGCAAGUCUGAUGGAGCAACGCCGCGUGAGUGAAGAAGGUUUUCGGACCGUAAAGCUCUGUUGUUGGUGAAGAAGGAUAGAGGUAGUAACUGGCCUUUAUUUGACGGUAAUCAACCAGAAAGUCACGGCUAACUACGUGCCAGCAGCCACGGUAAUACGUAGGUGGCAAGCGUUGUCCGGAUUUAUUGGGCGUAAAGCGAGCGCAGGCGGAAGAAUAAGUCUGAUGUGAAAGCCCUCGGCUUAACCGAGGAAUUGCAUCGGAAACUGUUUUCUUGAGUGCAGAAGAGGAGAGUAGAACUCCAUGUGUAGCGGUGGAAUGCGUAGAUAUAUGGAAGAAUACCAGUGGCGAAGGCGGCUCUCUGGUCUGCAACUGACGCUGAGGCUCGAAAGCAUGGGUAGCGAACAGGAUUAGAUACCCUGGUAGUCCAUGCCGUAAACGAUGAGUGC